UACGGAGGGUGCGAGCGUUGUCCGGAAUCAUUGGGCGUAAAGGGCGCGUAGGUGGCGCGGUCAGUUCGUGGUGAAAGCGCGGGGCUCAACCCCGCGUCGGCCAUGAAUACUGCUGGGCUGGAGCACUGUAGAGGCAGGCGGAAUUCCGGGUGUAGCGGUGGAAUGCGUAGAGAUCCGGAAGAACACCGGUGGCGAAGGCGGCCUGCUGGGCAGUUGCUGACACUGGAGGCGCGACACGUGGGGAGCAAACAGGG
rnacentral:rRNA from 1 species